CCCCUCCCCCCGCUGCAGCCAGACGGGGCGCUCGCGCCCCCUUCCCCGCCCCGCGUUGGCCUCCAACAGGAAGUUGUCCCGGCCCCCGGCACGUGACUCCACCGUAUCUGCAUACCGGAGGGCAGGCUGGCCAAUCGGCGCUCUGCACUUGAGCUCCGCCCCCGCGCGCCCCUCCCCGGCCCAUUGGCUUGUCUUGGCAGGCCACGCCCCCUCCUUCCCCCUUAAUACCCGCCCGCGCCUAGGUUCCCCAGACCGCGCGGGGAGCGCGCCGGGGAGCGAGCGGGCGCGCGCUAGGCCCGGUGGCUCGCCCUCCGCUUGAGGUGCGUGGAGACCCGCGCGGCGUCCUUCCCGGUCUUUGGGUGCUGUGGCUCCGCGUUAGUACGCUGGACCCCGGGGCGCGGACCCGGCCCUGUGCGUCCGCUCGGAAUUCCCCUGGCCGGCGCCCCGCGACGCCCAGGCCCGGGUUUUGCACGUUAUUUUCACCCGGAGGCGCCGGCCGUCUCUGCAGCGGCGCCCGGCACCCGCACUGGCGCGCGUCCCGCCCGUGCCGUGCACACGCUCUGCACCUCCCCACCGUGCACACACACGUACACGCGCCGGCCCGGCCCGGGAGCAUCCUGCUCGCCGCGCGCCUCCCCGCCCGACCCUGCGCGCAGCCGCUCCCCGGGGAGCGCCCUGCAGCGAGCCAAACAAGCCUCGCUGCGCAACAGCCCCCGGGGAGACAUCCUUCUGCCCCGGAGCGCGAGCGCCGCCCCCACCGCGCCAACGGCUGUCCGGGCGGAACCGGGCGCUCCGGCUCCACACAGCACGGUCUUUCCCCGCGCUCGGUACCCCGUCGUGGUCCUCCAUUCCUCCGCUCCUCUUCCAGAGACAUUAGUCAUUAAUCGUAGAUAAGAAGUCAGCGUGGCUAAAGGCAUGGUACCCAGAUUGUGCAAAGCCCUGUGAUAACAUGCCAGAACAGGCUGCAGAAUUGCAGGAAUCUGCGAGCUCCGCCAGGAAGCUGGGACGGCCCAGUGAUGUUCACCUCGCGAGCCUCAGGGGCGGCCUUGAACUGCACUGUUUUUCUCUGUUCCCGCUCACCGUGAUUGUAAGAUGUACCAUAAGCUGACAAGUUUCUCUUGACAUUGAUUAUAAGCUGUACCUCGAUUUCGAGAAUGUUAGAAAGUGAAAAAAGUGUUUACUUUCCAAUGGAGAAAAUGUGCUAUUAAGAGGCAUGAUAGUUUUCUUUGCCUCUACUUUGAUCUCUGCUUCUGUCUUGCUCUGUUUUCCUCUUUCUCGCCGUUUCUUUCUUCACCUCCCUCAUCCCUCUCCCUGACUUCGCCUUGGAAAUUUCCUCCUGGGACGGGUGUGCAGGAGCCCUUGGGAAGAUUGGUCCAUGUUCUUUCACACAACGAUGCCUGUUUGCCUGGAGACCUGUUCUGCCGUGAUGCCCAUCCCGAGGGAUGCACAGCCC
ensembl:lncRNA